UAAACCUCAACAUUUUAACAUUUUCCUGAUUUAUGGUGAGACGUUACACAGGAUAAUAAGAGUUGUUUUUUUCUCCAGUAAAAAGCCGCAAGAGACGGUGAAACUACGAUCACAUCUGUGGAGUCUGGACUUCACAAUUAUACUGUAAAAAGAGCGUUCUCUCCUUUCCCUCUCCCAAAGGGGGGGGGGGGGGGGGGUCAUCCAGAUUUCAGCGGUCCAAUGCAAUCCCAGGCCAACACCUGGACACACCCUGUCUAAACCAUUUCAUUGAGCUGUGCUGAUGUGUUUGAAGCUCUCGGGGUUUAAGCCUCGGUGUGAACGGACGGAGGACACCAGAGUGAAAGGCGAGCCAGCAGAGAGGAUCAGGUGAUGCUGGUGCAGAUCAAAGGCAGGUGGACAAACAGGAGGAAUCCAACGCAGUAUUUCUUACCUGACAGACCAGUACACCCUGAAUUUAAGCCAACAAGAUUACAGCGGACCCUCUGCACCCCCUUUGGUCUGAUCAUGAACUAAGCGACAAUGGUCUUGAAAAAUGAAUGUGGAAUUCCAAUGUGAAAGUGCAAAUUCCUACAGUUCCUUGAGUUUCCGUUUGAGGCUGGCUCCAGGAACACCGGAAGUCACAAACACAGACAAAAAAGCAGUUUUUACAGCAUAAAUAAACAUGUUUACAACCUGGUUAAAAAAAA